AGGCAAGAUGUUGGCAUAGCUGAUGCACUAAGAACCUCUUAUGCCAACAUGUUGCCCUC
rnacentral:pre_miRNA from 1 species